rnacentral:rRNA from 1 species
AGCAGCCGCGGUAAUUCCAGCUCCAAUAGCGUAUAUUAAAGUUGCUGCAGUUAAAAAGCUCGUAGUUGAAUUUCGGGACUAAUAUGUCGGUCGUGCCUCGGUACGUACUGGUUUAUUGGUUUCUCCUUUCUGAAGAACCAUGAUGUCAUUUAUUUGGUGUCGUGGGGAAUCAGGACUGUUACUUUGAAAAAUUAGAGUGUUUAAAGCAAGCUAACGCUUGAAUACAUUAGCAUGGAAUAAUGAAAUAGGACGUUCGAUCCUAUUUUGUUGGUUUCUAGGAUUGACGUAAUGAUUAAUAGGGAUAGGUUGGGGGCA